UACAGAGGAUUGACAGAUUGCGAGCUCUUUCUUGAUUUUGUGGGUGGUGGUGCAUGGCGGCCUUCCAUAAUAUAAGAAGGUUCAUAUCCAAAG